ensembl:lncRNA
AGCAUAUUAUGUUCUCAAAAUAAGAUUUUGUUUUGGACUUUGUGAUUAACUUUGAAUAAUGUUAUAAACUUAAUAAAUGUAAUCAUUUUAUUUAUCUGUUCACUAUGUUUAAAGGAUCAUCAGCGGCGCCAGUUGGAAUCCUUUGAACAAAGGCGAAGACAGAAAAUUGCUGAAAGGAGGGCACAUCUAUGUCAAAUUGUUGAGCCGGAGCAAGGCUUUGCAAUACAGUUUCAGUACCCUGAUGGCACCAGGAAAACAAGGAAAUUUGUUGAGUCUCAACCAAUUCAGGAUCUGUUUGCCUUUGCUGGUUCAGACGACAUGGCCAGUGAAGUAUUCCGUGUACAGCUGUCCUGGUCACCGAACACUAUACUUAGUACUGUUGAUGGUAGCCCCUCAGAUCAUGAAAUUAGUAGGCCCUCAUCCUUAUAUGUGCUUUGGAUGUCAGGUGUUCAAAUAGAGGAAUUAAUUGCAUCCAGUGUUGAAUCUUCAACUGACCAACUGGCUGCUACUCAGGACUUAGGAAGCAUCCCAAGUCCCCUCCAUUCCAGUGAUCAGGAUGUUGGCUUCUCCCCCUGCCCUGUUCCAGCUUUCUCACCACCAAUUGACAAUUCUUCACCCUCGUCACCACCAUGGUCUUUGAUUUCUCUUUUCCCUUUACUAUUGCCACAUCUCCUAGCCCAGUGGUCUUCAAACCUGGUCCUGGGAACCUGCCGCUCUGUACAUUUUGUCUGUAUUUUUUAUUUUACACAUUUGAUUCAAAUCAGCUUGUUAAGUGGAAGCUCCAUUAACUGAACCAACUGGUCUUUUAAGAGGUAAAUACAAAAUUUCCAGAGCUGUGGGAUUGAAACCGAUUGUUCUUGUUUGUAAAAUGUAAGAUUACACACAGAUUUACUAACAGCUUGCUCCAGCGCAAACCAUCUUUCGGGGUCACAAAAGUACUGUCAGGAUUUACCAAAGACACGCAGUGAAAAAAUAAUCAAUUUAUUGGUAUUUGUGCCAUUAUUUACAGGCCAAAAAAAACGUGACUCAUUUUGCACCUGUUUUGUCACACACACAUGAUUAUCAGUGGCUUUGAUGUGGUGUGUUCAAUAGAUCAUCGCUUUCCACUACCAAUGGCACUUUUAUGGAUUUGUGCUCUCACGCUAAUUUGCCCUGUUUAGUAAAUUUGGCCCUAAGUUUAAUACAGUUUGUUGUGUGGAAUUGUGUCUAGACUAAGUUAUGCAAUUAAAUGCAAUUAAUGCAGUUAUACUAAGUUAUGCAUUUACAGUGAAGUUUAUGCAUUAGAUUCUGAAGAUGAGGAGGAUGUGGUGAUGUUGACCUCACCUGUUUAUUCUGACAAUGAAAUUGAUGUAAUUAUGCAACCAUACCUUUAAAAGUCAUAAUAAUUUCUAUUAAUUUAUAAUAAUAAUAAUAAUUUUUGUUGUUAUUGUAAUGACUUAGGAUGACGUUUCUGCUGCUG